ACGUAGGGUGCAAGCGUUAAUCGGAAUUACUGGGCGUAAAGCGUGCGCAGGCGGUUUUGUAAGUCAGAUGUGAAAUCCCCGGGCUUAACCUGGGAACUGCAUUUGUGACUGCAUGGCUGGAGUGCGGCAGAGGGGGAUGGAAUUCCGCGUGUAGCAGUGAAGUGCGUAGAUAUGCGGAGGAACACCGAUGGCGAAGGCAAUCCCCAGGGCCUGCACUGACGCUCAUGCACGAAAGCGUGGGGAGCAAACAGUA
rnacentral:rRNA from 1 species